UACAGAGGUCUCAAGCGUUGUUCGGAUUCAUGGGGCGUAAAGAGCGUGUAGGCGGCCUGGUAAGUCCGCUGUGAAAGUCCAGGGCUCAACCCUGGAAUGCCGGUGGAAACUGUCAGGCUCGAGUCCGGAAGAGGUGAGUGGAAUUCCUGGUGUAGCGGUGAAAUGCGCAGAUAUCAGGAGGAACACCAAUGGCGAAGGCAGCUCGCUGGGACGGUACUGACGCUGAGACGCGAAAGCGUGGGGAGCAAACAGG
rnacentral:rRNA from 1 species